GACGAACGCUGGCGGCGUGCCUAAUACAUGCAAGUCGAACGAAGCUGUUUUAACUGGUGCUUGCACCGACUUAAACAACUGAGUGGCGAACGAGUGAGUAACACGUGGGUAACCUGCCCCAAAGCGGGGGAUAACAUUUGGAAACAGAUGCUAAUACCGCAUAACCACAGAAACCACAUGGUUUCUGUGUCAAAGAUGGUUUCGGCUAUCACUUUGGGAUGGACCCGCGGCGUAUUAGCUAGUUGGUAAGGUAAUGGCUUACCAAGGCAAUGAUACGUAGCCGAACUGAGAGGUUGAUCGGCCACAUUGGGACAGAGACACGGCCCAAACUCCUACGGGAGGCAGCAGUAGGGAAUCUUCCACAAUGGACGAAUGUCUGAUGGAGCAACGCCGCGUGAGUGAAGAAGGUUUUCGGAUCGUAAAACUCUGUUGUCAGAGAAGAACGUGUGCGAGAGUAACUGUUCGUGCAGUGACGGUAUCUGGCCAGAAAGCCACGGCUAACUACGUGCCAGCAGCCGCCGUAA
rnacentral:rRNA from 1 species